UGAUGAUGAUGACGAUGAUGAUGAUGAUGAUGAUGAUGAUGAUGAUGACGUCGUCGUCAUCAUCAUCAUCAUCAUCACCAUCAUCAUCCAGU
rnacentral:pre_miRNA from 1 species